rnacentral:rRNA from 1 species
UGAGGAAUAUUGCGCAAUGGAGGCAACUCUGACGCAGCAACGCCGCGUGAGUGAAGAAGGCCCUCGGGUUGUAAAGCUCUGUCAGGUGGGAAGAACCCUCUGUAGUUGAAUAGACUGCAGAACUGACGGUACCACCAAAGGAAGCACCGGCUAACUCCGUGCCAGCAGCCGCGGUAAGACGGAGGGUGCAGGCGUUGUUCGGAAUCACUGGGCGUAAAGCGCGUGUAGGCGGCUUGACAAGUCGAAUGUGAAAGCCCGGGGCUCAACCUCGGAAGGGCAUUCGAAACUGUCAGGCUUGAGUACGGGAGAGGGAAGUGGAAUUCCUGGUGUAGAGGUGAAAUUCGUAGAUAUCAGGAGGAACACCGGUGGCGAAGGCGGCUUCCUGGACCGAUACUGACGCUGAGACGCGAAAGCGUGGGGAGCAAACA